rnacentral:rRNA from 1 species
CCCUUAGAUGUUCUGGGCCGCACGCGCGCUACACUGACGAUGGCAGCGAGUUUUUCCUUCGCCGAAAGGUGUGGGUAAUCUUUUGAAACAUCGUCGUGCUGGGGAUAGAUCAUUGCAAUUUUUGAUCUUGAACGAGGAAUUCCUAGUAAGCGCGAGUCAUCAGCUCGCGUUGAUUACGUCCCUGCCCUUUGUACACACCGCCCGUCGCUACUACCGAUUGAAUGGUUUAGUGAGGACUCCUGAUUGGCGCCGCCGCCCCGGCAACGGAGCAGCGGACUGCCGAAAAGUUGUUCAAACUUGAUCAUUUAGAGGAAGUAAAAGUCGUAACA